GAUUGAACGCUGGCGGCAUGCCUUACACAUGCAAGUCGAACGGCAGCACGGGAGCAAUCCUGGUGGCGAGUGGCGAACGGGUGAGUAAUACAUCGGAACGUGCCCAAUCGUGGGGGAUAACGCAGCGAAAGCUGUGCUAAUACCGCAUAAGAUCUACGGAUGAAAGCAGGGGAUCGCAAGACCUUGCGCGAAUGGAGCGGCCGAUGGCAGAUUAGGUAGUUGGUGAGGUAAAGGCUCACCAAGCCUUCGAUCUGUAGCUGGUCUGAGAGGACGACCAGCCACACUGGGACUGAGACACGGCCCAGACUCCUACGGGAGGCAGCAGUGGGGAAUUUUGGACAAUGGGCGAAAGCCUGAUCCAGCCAUGCCGCGUGCAGGAUGAAGGCCUUCGGGUUGUAAACUGCUUUUGUACGGAACGAAAAGGUUCUUUCUAAUAAAGAGAGCCCAUGACGGUACCGUAAGAAUAAGC
rnacentral:rRNA from 1 species